rnacentral:lncRNA from 1 species
GAAGCCAGGAGGGCAGAAACUGGAAAGCAGGUGGCAGAGCUGGGAGCUGCUGCUGAUUAUUCCCAGGCCUUGAAACCAGAUGAAGUUUACUCAGUCCUAUUUCAAAAUUGCUUGGAAUUGAUGGAGGAAGGGAGCCAUGAGUCAAGGAAUGAGGCAGCUUGAAAACCUGGGAAUGGCCUUCAGCAUACAGCCAACAAGAAAACAAGGGCCUCAGUUCUACAGCCGGAAAGAACUGAAUUCUGCCAACAGCCUGCAUGAGUAAGAAAACAGAUUCUCCCUAGAGCCUCCAGAUAGCAAUGCAGUCCUGCUGAUGCCUUAAUUUUAGUAGAGUGAGACCUUUGCAGACUUCUGACCUAUAUAACUAUAAUUAAUAAAUCUGAGUUGUUGUACGC